UGCAUGUGUGUGGGGACUGUUGCUCCAGACACCUGCCUCGGAGGACUGCUGCCUGCUCCUCUCUGGUCGUCCUGCAUAGCCAGCGGAUCUAUUCUCACUUGUGGCAACCUGCCCACCUCAUGACCUUGAACUCCUCCCUUAUGACUUUGGAAAUCAAUGCAGACCAGUGCAUGAUCAGUGCUCUACUCACAAGGAUUCAGCACUGGGAUCAGAUUUCAGACCUUCACAAAGAAGCAGGGCUUCCAAAAAUAAGUAUUUUUCCCUAAUCUUAUUAAACAAACUCACUGACUCUUUUCUGACUUGAAUAUUAAAAGGAACAUAGUCAAACAAAUAUAACAUGGGAAAUUUAGCUGAGCUUUAUAAAAGUGUUGCAUUCAGCAAAGACAAGAUGCUCAACACAGAGACUGUUACGAUGGAGCUGUAAGAACAGCGGACUGUUAUGGCACCUUGAGGGUACUGACAGCCUUCACCCUCCCUGCCGAUACACACCUUCUCUAACUGCACACCUAGUGUCUGAGCCUCCUCUACAGACCCGUCAAUACAGACCAAUCCCUCAUUCCUCCACACUCAGGCUGCUG